rnacentral:rRNA from 1 species
UACGGAGGGCGCAAGCGUUGUUCGGAAUUACUGGGCGUAAAGCGCGUGUAGGCGGCCAGGUAAGUCGGAUGUGAAAGCCCGGGGCCCAACCCCGGAACUGCACCCGAUACUGCCCGGCUGGAGUCCCGGAGAGGAUGGCGGAAUUUCCGGUGUAGAGGUGAAAUUCGUAGAUAUCGGAAGGAACACCAGUGGCGAAGGCGGCCAUCUGGACGGUGACUGACGCUGAGACGCGAAAGCGUGGGGAGCAAACAGG